GCCAAGGUAGCUCAGUUGGUAGAGCACUGGACUGAAAAUCCGGGGGUCACCAGUUCAAGUCUGGUCCUUGGCA
rnacentral:tRNA from 1 species